GCCCUCGUAGCUCAGUGGAUAGAGCACCGCUCUCCUAAAGCGGGUGUCGCAGGUUCGAUUCCUGCCGGGGGCAC
rnacentral:tRNA from 1 species